rnacentral:rRNA from 1 species
AUAAGCGGAGGAAAAGAAACUAACAAGGAUUCCCCUAGUAGCGGCGAGCGAAGCGGGAAGAGCUCAAAUUUAUAAUCUGGCACCUUCGGUGUCCGAGUUGUAAUCUCUAGAAGUGUUUUCCGCGUUGGACCGCACACAAGUCUGUUGGAAUACAGCGGCAUAGUGGUGAAACCCCCGUAUAUGGUGCGGACGCCCAGCGCUUUGUGAUACACUUUCAAUGAGUCGAGUUGUUUGGGAAUGCAGCUCAAAUUGGGUGGUAAAUUCCAUCUAAAGCUAAAUAUUGGCGAGAGACCGAUAGCGAACAAGUACCGUGAGGGAAAGAUGAAAAGCACUUUGGAAAGAGAGUUAACAGUACGUGAAAUUGUUGGAAGGGAAACGCUUGAAGUCAGACUUGCUUGCCGGAGCUUGCUUCGGUUUGCAGGCCAGCAUCAGUUUUCCGGGGUGGAUAAUGACGGUUUGAAGGUAGCAGUCUCGGCUGUGUUAUAGCUUUCCGUUGGAUACAUCCUGGGGGACUGAGGAACGCAGCGUGCUUUUUGCGAAAGACUCGUCUUUUCACGCUAGGAUG